CGCUGUAAACGAUGUCGAUUUGGAGUUUGUUGCCUAGAGUGAUGGGCUCCGAAGCUAACGCGAUAAAUCGACCGCCUGGGGAGUACGGCCGCAAGGUUAAAACUCAAAUGAAUUGACGGGGGCCCGCACAAGCGGUGGAGCAUGUGGUUUAAUUCGAUGCAACGCGAAGAACCUUACCUGGUCUUGACAUCCAUAGAAUUCUGCAGAGAUGUGGGAGUGCCUUCGGGAACUAUGAGACAGGUGCUGCAUGGCUGUCGUCAGCUCGUGUUGUGAAAUGUUGGGUUAAGUCCCGCAACGAGCGCAACCCUUAUUCUUUGUUGCCAGCGAUUUGGUCGGGAACUCAAAGGAGACUGCCGUUGAUAAAGCGGAGGAAGGUGGGGACGACGUCAAGUCAUCAUGGCCCUUACGAGCAGGGCUACACACGUGCUACAAUGGCGUAUACAAAGGGAAGCGAAGGUGCGAGCUGGAGCGGAUCUCAUAAAGUACGUCUAAGUUCGGAUUGGGGUCUGCAACUCGACUCCAUGAAGUCGGAAUCGCUAGUAAUCGUAGAUCAGAAUGCUACGGUGAAUACGUUCCCGGGCCUUGUACACACCGCCCGUCACACCAUGGGAGUGGGUUGCACCAGAAGUAGAUAGCUUAACCGCGAGGGGGGCGUUUACCACGGUGUGAUUCAUGACUGGGGUGAAGUCGUAACAAGGUAACCA
rnacentral:rRNA from 1 species